UACGAAGGGUGCGAGCGUUAUUCGGAGUGAUUGGGCGUAAAGGGUGCGUAGGCGGUGCGUUAAGUCAACUGUCAAAUUUCCCAGCUUAACUGGGAGCAGGCGGUUGAAACUGGCGUGCUUGAGGGUGGAAGAGAGAAGCGGAAUUCUCGGAGUAGCGGUAAAAUGCGUAGAUCUCGAGAGGAACACCGAUGGCGAAGGCAGCUUCUUGGUCCAUUCCUGACGCUGAUGCACGAAAGCGUGGGGAGCAAACAGG
rnacentral:rRNA from 1 species